GAUGAAGAACGUAGCGAAAUGCGAUAAGUAAUGUGAAUUGCAGAAUUCAGUGAAUCAUCGAAUCUUUGAACGCACAGUGCGCCCGCCAGUAUUCUGGCGGGCAUGCCUGUCCGAGCGUCAUUUCAACCCUCGAACCCCUCCGGGGGGUCGGCGUUGGGGACCUCGGGAGCCCCUAAGACGGGAUCCCGGCCCCGAAAUACAGUGGCGGUCUCGCCGCAGCCUCUCCUGCGCAGUAGUUUGCACAACUCGCACCGGGAGCGCGGCGCGUCCACGUCCGUAAAACACCCAACUUCUGAAAUGUUGACCUCGGAUCAGGUAGGAAUACCCGCUGAACUUAAGCAUAUCAAUAAGCGGAGGA
rnacentral:misc_RNA from 1 species